GAAGGCUCAUAAGUCCCCCUAGGACGAGGCAGCAGUAGAGAAUAUUGUGCAAUAUACGUCAGUAUGACACAGAGAGCACACAUCACACUUAGCCUGUCAAAUUAAGUGCCAGCAGACGCGGUUAGACUUAAGGGCUAAGCCUUUAUAGGUAAAAAGGCGUAAAGGGUGUGUAGGCCGACAAUUCCCCCCCAAGGUGGUAAAUGGAAUUUUUCUGUAACGGUAGAAUGUGUGGAUAGAAAAUAGAACCCCAAAGGCAAAAGCAAUUUACCUCGGGGAAGGGGGGUGAAAAUCUGAUAUUCCCGAUCGGGACCUAUCACUCCACCCCCCCGAGCACAGGCUGAAACACGAGGGUGUGGGUAACAAACAGGAUUAGAGACCCUGGUAGUCCACACUGUAAACGAUGAAGAAAAUGUUAAUGCAACCCCGAAAGGUAGUAAUCUUCCGCCUGAGUAGUACGAUCGCAAGAUUAAAAUUCAAAAAAUUUGGCUGUUCACUGUUUCGAUUAGAGGAGCGUGUAGUUUAAUUCGAUAAACCGCGAGAUACCUUACCCAAACUUGAAUCACCCAUCCGAGAUUGAAUGGUCUCGGGAGGGUAGACCGGUAUUGCAUGGCCGUCGUCAGUUCGUGUAUGAAACCUUUAACGGACCUAACCCGGGGGGUUAGCCGCGGAUGAAGUCAGGUCUUAUGAUCCCUAUGUUUGGGGAUAAUAUGCGCUACAUUUUCUUAUACAAUGGGAAACCUGAAAGGUGAAACCCCAAAGUAGGAGUUCGGUAGGUCAUUGUAAGAUGACCGAAAGUUGAAUUUAAUAGUAAUCGGAAAGUAGAGCGUUCCGGUGAAAUGAUCUAAGUGUUAGCACAAAUCGCCCGUCACCUUAACUUAGAACGAUAGUACGGACGCAGCCCUGCCAGCUCGCAAUGUCGAGGCCCCCCUCCUCGAGGGGGUGAGGCUUCGGUGGUCACGAAUCUCUACGAAGUA
rnacentral:rRNA from 1 species